GACGAACGCUGGCGGCGUGCUUAACACAUGCAAGUCGAGCGGAAAGGCCCUGCUUUUGUGGGGUUGCUGAGUCGGGGACGGGGGAAGUACCUGGGAAUUAACUUGCCCUUGCCUUUGGAUAACCUUAAGAAACUGGGGCUAAUACCCGAUUAGUGCCUCUGUUUGAUGGGGGGGGUUGGAAAGGUUCCGCGGUUUGGGGUCGACUUGGGGCUUAUUCGCUUGUUGGUUGGGGUGUGGCCUACCAAAGCCUUGACGGGUUGCCGGCCUGGGAGGGUGACCGGCCACAUGGGGCCUAAGGUACGGCCCAGACGCCUACGGGGGGCAACAGUGGGGAAUAUUGCACAAUGGGCGGAAGCCUGAUGCAGCAACGCCGCGUGCGGAAUGACGGCCUUCGGGUUGUAAACCGCUUUCGCCUGUGACGAAGCGUGAGUGACGGUAAUGGGUAAAGAAGCACCGGCUAACUACGUG
rnacentral:rRNA from 1 species